rnacentral:lncRNA from 10 species
GUGCAAACAGCACCCUUCUGCAGAAGCAAAAGUGCCUGGCUGAGAAAUUUUCUGUCUAAGUGCAGGUUUCUUUUGGCUACACUGAGCACUUGUUUCCAACAAAUCUGGGGGCUCAUCUGAGAUCCCACUCUCCUUUGGGAGGGGCUAGCGAUUAUCUUGCAUGGGGAGAUGCGUCCCACUGCCUUGUUGUGGUGGCCCAAGCAGCGGAGGAUCAAGUCCUGCCCAAAGUGAUGACUAAAUCCAGACUCUGAGCAAUGCGGGCAUAGAAGGAUCCUUAAGAACUCUACGGCGACCAGAUCAGAUGUAUUUGGAGAAAACAAAAAACCCACAACCCAAAGGAUGGGAUUUCACAUCUCAAGACAUCUCCCAGCCUUUAGGCCAUUGAGCUCCAGAUGAACCUCAGUGAGGGAUAGUGUCCUCUCAAUAUUCAAGAGUUACCCUUCUAUGGGGGACCCCCUAGACUGCCCAUCAGUGAGACACAACAGAGGCAAAAUCCUGCCCCUCUCUCCCUUGGACCUGGCUGGAUACCAGUUUCCCCAAUCCAUGGAAACAGCCUCCUGCUCUGACAACUAGCAAGAGGCCAAGACUCACAGAACCACCUACAACCCCCCAACCUCUGUCAGCAGGAAGCCAUUACAGAAGGCUCACCUUCAUCCAUUUUCUCCAAAUAACUGGGGUCUUGGACUCUUGAGGGGGGAAAUGCUAUAGUAGGUAGCUAGUAAGACAUGAGCAGAGCGGGAGAGGGCUCCCCGCCAAACCCAACUAGGAAGCUCAGGCGACCAUCAGAUGAGGGUCAGGUGGUUGUUAACUGUAUCUCUAAAA